UGAUGAUCUGAUUGAGAAGCGGCAGGCCCUGCUUUUGCUGCAGGCUGGAGUGUGUGAGCGAGGGCACGUACGCGCACACUGCCACAUGGAGCAUCUGUGGAGUUUUGUCACAGGCACAACUUCAGAAUAAAUAAAUUCAGAUGGAUGUUGGCCUCUCUACCGACAACCGGCAUCAGGGGGAAAAGAGCCAAAAACAAGCAGCCGAGAAACCAGCUCAAAGAGCGGAGCUACAUGGGGACAGAAACAACAAGUUCAUAUGGUUAGAGGCUGCAUGUCAAUUCAUCAGAGGUUUCACUGAGGAUAAAUAAGUGCCAGGAGGUCAGACCAGGAGAGCCAUAAUCUUUGACAUGGUUACCUUGGCCUUCCCGAAAAGUCCCGACAUGAAGGGCCAGAGGGAUAGGACAGCCAGGCCCACAGUCAGCAUGGCGCGAUGGAAGAAGCUCACCACCUGGGGGCAGCAAAGGUGAACUGUCAGCCACAGAACAGAGGAUAUAGAUAAUUGUAGGUUUUAGAUUCUGUCGUAGGUAGAAAAUAUGCAUCUAGCUGUACAUUAGAAAACCAUCAAAGACACCUACCAGCAACUCAAUCCCAAAUGCCACCAGCACAAAAUAGCCCAAACAUUUCCACAGUGGAAGAGCAGGCGCCGACUUGAUCAGAUCUUUCAGAGUGCCUGACCUGAAGUGGAUCAUUUAUACAAUUAUUUUUCAGUAAGAAAAUUGAGAAAAGAACAAGAACUCUCCAAAGACACUUUGGUGAGUGUCACUCACUCUUUCAGGACAGAGUACCAUACAGGGACCGGCAGCAGGCAGUAGAUAUAAUAGGUAAUCGGGCUCCUUUGGACCAGCAGGAACCCAGAGAUCACUACAGUCACACAUAGACACAGCCUCUCCAGGGUAUAGCUGCGAGUCUGCAAUAUGCACACACACUGGGGCGUUACCAAACAAUGUGACUGUGAGACACAUUUGUUUCCCUUAAGCUUAUUUUGCCGGCCGGGCAGCGGGAUUAUAUAUUGAGCGCCCUGACCUGGUUGAGGAGACUGGGGUGUCUGUGGAGGCUGGCGUGAGUCUUCAGGAUGACCAUGACAACAUAUGAGGUCCAGCCUACAAAUCCCAGCACCACACUGCAGCCCAGGAAGAACCUGUCGUAGUCAGGUAAUGACGACUGUCGCUGCAGUGGUGAGACCGGCUGAUGUGGCGCUGACUGUUUAGCAAAUUGUGUUUCCCAUUGCUGAACCCACAAUGUUUGUGGUACAUUGGUAAGUAAAAAGUUUUUUAACUCACUUGCUGAUGAUCAUUAUUUAACUUAUUGUACUUACUGAUAUGGGGUGAAGAGAAAGGACAAGGUUGUCUCCUUUUUCUGGGUCAUUUUCAUCUAGAAAAUAAAUAUAUACAACUCAGUUACCAUAAACCACCUUCCAUGUGCUUCAGCACUAUUUAUAACUUGAAAGAUAAGAAGCUUCCCGCAAUUCCUGACCAAUAUUAAUAACAGUAAUAUUAUAUCAGCAGCAGCAGAGAUGAAUGCUGCCAUACCUUGAAUUGCUGUAGUACUUGAAUGGCGUUAGUGUACAUGCUCUCUGCUUUGAACAGGUCACUGUUGUUCAGGUAGAGAAGAGGCAAAACCCCCUGUAAUGACACAAAUACACAUGAAGAUGAGCAUAAAGUCAUAAAAACUGAAGAAUUAUCUUUUUAGAAAAUAUUAUAAACUCACAUGAGAAUUUCUACAACUGAACAGAUUUUCACAGCCACCUAAAGGUUCUUACAAAAUAAAGGUCAGAAAAAUGUAGCUCUGUCUUAUCUCUAAACUUACAACUGAGUUGACAGGAAAGGGCACGCCGAUGAGAGAAGCCAUGAGGGGAGCAAUGUCCGCCUGCAGAAAACAAACAAAAACGAUUUCACUUCGCCCUUUGUCCUUCAGUUGUAUCACUGCUUUCACACACUGUAAAUGUAGUGACCCUGAUUCCUGUUACUGUCGUGCUAGGCCACGGGUCUUACCUGACUGACGUCCGCCCUGUGGAGGUGCUCCAGUUUCCAAUCUGAGAGAAACGGAGGGGAAUAGAGACAGGAAAGAAUACAAAUCAAUAAAAGUAUAUAGUAUAAUACAUUUUUUCCAAAAUGUUGCUCUGCCUUACAAGUGAUAUUCAGCAUAUUGUCCUAUGUUUUAAACUGCACACAAAUAAUUGCUCUAAGUUGGUGUCCUAGGUGGGUCCUAAAAACAGCUUUAAACUGUUUGAGAGACCUUUAAGUAAAGCGGCUCUGAUUACAGUGCAUGGGUUUAGCACCUUGAAGGUAGCCAUCGUCAUACAGUUGGGGUUCAGUGACUCUACGAGCCCUUUGGACUCCAGCUCCCCACACCACUAGAGGGGUGAGCGUCUCAGAGGGAUGCCCUGCACCGUGAGAGCCUGCAAGGAAACACACACACAAAUUUUGUCAUGCCAUGAUCAGAGGUGAACACGUAGGCUGUUCUGCCAUCAUAACCAAAGAAUUCCUCCACUAUGGACACCAGCUCAGCCACACCAGUGUCAACUAAAGCAAUGUUAUCCAG